rnacentral:rRNA from 1 species
GUGGGGAAUCUUGCGCAAUGGGCGAAAGCCUGACGCAGCCAUGCCGCGUGAAUGAUGAAGGUCUUAGGAUUGUAAAAUUCUUUCACCGGGGACGAUAAUGACGGUACCCGGAGAAGAAGCCCCGGCUAACUUCGUGCCAGCAGCCGCGGUAAUACGAAGGGGGCUAGCGUUGCUCGGAAUUACUGGGCGUAAAGGGCGCGUAGGCGGACAGUUAAGUUGGGGGUGAAAGCCCGGGGCUCAACCUCGGAACUGCCUUCAAUACUGGCUGUCUUGAGUAUGAGAGAGGUGUGUGGAACUCCGAGUGUAGAGGUGAAAUUCGUAGAUAUUCGGAAGAACACCAGUGGCGAAGGCGACACACUGGCUCAUUACUGACGCUGAGGCGCGAAAGCGUGGGGAGCAAACAGGAUUAGAAACCCCGGUAGUCC